AUUGAACGCUGGCGGCAGGCUUAACACAUGCAAGUCGAGCGAGCGGCGGACGGGUGAGUAAUGUCUGGGAAACUGCCUGAUGUAGGGGGAUAACUACUUGAAACGGUAGCUAAUACCGCAUACCAUCAGAUGUGCCCAGAGGUGAUUAGCUAGUAGGUGGGGUAAUGGCUCACCUAGGCGACGAGCCCUAGCUGGUCUGAGAGGAUGACAAGCAACACAAGAACUGAGGUACGGUCCAGACGCCUACGGGCGGCAGCAGUGGGGAAUAUUGCACAAAGGGUGAAAGCCUGAUGCAGCCAUGCAGCGUGUGUGAAGAAGGCCUUCGGGUUGUAAAGCACUUUCAGCGAGGAGGCGUGACUCGCAGAAGAAGCACCGGCUAACUCCGUGCCAGCAGCCGCGGUAAUAC
rnacentral:rRNA from 1 species